CGGCGGACGGGUGAGUAACACGUGGAUAACCUACCUAUAAGACUGGGAUAACUUCGGGAAACCGGAGCUAAUACCGGAUAAUAUAUUGAACCGCAUGGUUCAAUAGUGAAAGACGGUUUUGCUGUCACUUAUAGAUGGAUCCGCGCCGCAUUAGUUAGUUGGUAAGGUAACGGCUUACCAAGGCAACGAUGCGUAGCCGACCUGAGAGGGUGAUCGGCCACACUGGAACUGAGACACGGUCCAG
rnacentral:rRNA from 1 species